GACGAACGCUGGCGGCGUGCUUAACACAUGCAAGUCGAACGGUAAGGCCCUUCGGGGUACACGAGUGGCGAACGGGUGAGUAACACGUGGGUGAUCUGCCCUGCACUUCGGGAUAAGCCUGGGAAACUGGGUCUAAUACCGGAUAGGACCACUGCCUGCAUGGGUGGUGGUGGAAAGCUUAUGCGGUGUGGGAUGGGCCCGCGGCCUAUCAGCUUGUUGGUGGGGUGAUGGCCUACCAAGGCGACGACGGGUAGCCGGCCUGAGAGGGUGACCGGCCACACUGGGACUGAGAUACGGCCCAGACUCCUACGGGAGGCAGCAGUGGGGAAUAUUGCACAAUGGGCGCAAGCCUGAUGCAGCGACGCCGCGUGAGGGAUGACGGCCUUCGGGUUGUAAACCUCUUUCAGCACCGACGAAGCGCAAGUGACGGUGGGUGCAGAAGAAGGACCGGCCAACUACGUGCCAGCCGCCGCAGUAAAAC
rnacentral:rRNA from 1 species